rnacentral:rRNA from 1 species
GACGAACGCUGGCGGCGUGCUUAACACAUGCAAGUCGAACGGAAAGGCCCCUUCGGGGGUACUCGAGUGGCGAACGGGUGAGUAACACGUGGGUGAUCUGCCCUGCACUUCGGGAUAAGCCUGGGAAACUGGGUCUAAUACCGGAUAGGACCACGGGAUGCAUGUCCUGUGGUGGAAAGCUUUUGCGGUGUGGGAUGGGCCCGCGGCCUAUCAGCUUGUUGGUGGGGUGACGGCCUACCAAGGCGACGACGGGUAGCCGGCCUGAGAGGGUGUCCGGCCACACUGGGACUGAGAUACGGCCCAGACUCCUACGGGAGGCAGCAGUGGGGAAUAUUGCACAAUGGGUGCAAGCCUGAUGCAGCGACGCCGCGUGGGGGAUGACGGCCUUCGGGUUGUAAACCUCUUUCAGCAGGGACGAAGCGCAAGUGACGGUACCUGCAGAAGAAGCACCGGCCAACUACGUGCCAGCAGCCGCGGUAAUACGUAGGGUGCGAGCGUUGUCCGGAAUUACUGGGCGUAAAGAGCUCGUAGGUGGUUUGUCGCGUUGUUCGUGAAAACCGGGGGCUUAACCCUCGGCGUGCGGGCGAUACGGGCAGACUGGAGUACUGCAGGGGAGACUGGAAUUCCUGGUGUAGCGGUGGAAUGCGCAGAUAUCAGGAGGAACACCGGUGGCGAAGGCGGGUCUCUGGGCAGUAACUGACGCUGAGGAGCGAAAGCGUGGGGAGCGAACAGGAUUAGAUACCCUGGUAGUCCACGCCGUAAACGGUGGGUACUAGGUGUGGGUUUCCUUCCUUGGGAUCCGUGCCGUAGCUAACGCAUUAAGUACCCCGCCUGGGGAGUACGGCCGCAAGGCUAAAACUCAAAGGAAUUGACGGGGGCCCGCACAAGCGGCGGAGCAUGUGGAUUAAUUCGAUGCAACGCGAAGAACCUUACCUGGGUUUGACAUGCACAGGACGCCGGCAGAGAUGUCGGUUCCCUUGUGGCCUGUGUGCAGGUGGUGCAUGGCUGUCGUCAGCUCGUGUCGUGAGAUGUUGGGUUAAGUCCCGCAACGAGCGCAACCCUUGUCUCAUGUUGCCAGCGGGUAAUGCCGGGGACUCGUGAGAGACUGCCGGGGUCAACUCGGAGGAAGGUGGGGAUGACGUCAAGUCAUCAUGCCCCUUAUGUCCAGGGCUUCACACAUGCUACAAUGGCCGGUACAAAGGGCUGCGAUGCCGCGAGGCAUAGCGAAUCCUUUUAAAGCCGGUCUCAGUUCGGAUCGGGGUCUGCAACUCGACCCCGUGAAGUCGGAGUCGCUAGUAAUCGCAGAUCAGCAACGCUGCGGUGAAUACGUUCCCGGGCCU